rnacentral:rRNA from 1 species
UGGGGGAAUUUUGGACAAUGGGGGCAACCUGAUCCAGCCAUCCCGCGUGUGCGAUGAAGGCCUUCGGGUUGUAAAGCACUUUUUGGCAGGGAAGAAACAGCCUGGGAUAAUACCCCGGGCGACUGACGGUACCUGCAGAAUAAGCACCGGCUAACUACGUGCCAGCAGCCGCGGUAAUACGUAGGGUGCAAGCGUUAAUCGGAAUUACUGGGCGUAAAGCGUGCGCAGGCGGUUCGGGAAAGAAAGGUGUGAAUCCAGGGCUUAACCUUGGAACUGCANUUUAACUACCGAGGCUAGAGUAUGUCGAGGGGGGCUAGAAUUCCACGUGUAGCAGUGAAAUGCGUAGAGAUGUGGAGGAAUACCGAUGGCGAAGGCAGCCCCCU